GAGAUGACAGGAAGCACAACUUACUUCUCCAAGCCCCAUGUCGAAUCUCCAAUCCUGCUGUGGACAACAGGGCAACUCAUGCCAAAGACUUAACUGUGCUGAGAUGACAGGAACCACAACUUACUCCACCAAAGCAAGGGGGUUGAGGCGUUUCCAUAGCAGCCACCAGCCGGAGAGCGAGUCGCCGUAAUUAGUGAGGUUGGUUUCAUACCGGCUGCCCACGUCAAUAGCUAUCACCACUUUGGCCCCCAUGGAGCGUGCCAC